rnacentral:lncRNA from 1 species
UACUUUGCACGGCUUCUUCAAAGGUAACUGAUUCACAAUCAGCAAAUAGACAAAGAAGAGUUAGGUCUUCUAACCUUUCAGUGUCUUCAUAAAUGUCUUCCAAACUCCUUGCUCGUUCCUCGCUCCUUUCAUUCAGAAACGAUGGUGGCGAGUCAUCUUGAACUGCUGUUGGCGAGGUAGGUGGAGUAGUUAGCUCUCGAUGGGCAUCCUCUGUUAGGUCUUCUAACCUUUCAGUGUCUUCAUAAAUGUCUUCCAAACUCCUUGCGCGUUCCUCGCUCCUUUCAUUUAGAAACGAUGGUGGCGAGUCUU